CCACAGCCACCCAUUUCUCUUUCAAGUGUUCUCCCAAUACAAUGGGGCUUACUGACUUGAUGUUCUUGUAUUUCUCUAAUGUUAGCAAACAUUGCUUGAGCACCUACUGUGGGCUAUGCAUUAAACUACAGGUAAGUAAGUGUUGGUUAAAGGGUGAGUAAGACACUUUUCCUUGUCUUUAGGCGCUCACUGUCAGGCGGAAGGAAGAAGCUGUCAGGUCAUCAGACAACCACAUCUACAAUGUGAUGGUUCUUAGACAGGUGCUCUCAAUAUGUCAGAUGAGGACUCCCUGUCACAUUUGGCUGUCAUCUGUUAGCCACAACUGUCCUGCCCAGAAGAGCUGGCAUUGGCUUUGCAGCCCGAGUCCUGGCUGGCCUUCCUCGCCGCCACUCUAUUAAGGAACCUGAUGACUUGCCAUUGGGUAUCACAUGUACUGCAGGUGCUGUUGAUGAAACUGCUAAAGGAGCUGAAUGUGACUGACGUCUUUGGGAAGGGCGAGACUGGGCGUGCCCACGCAGCUGUGUCAAAUACUGUUCCUAUCUCCCAAUGGAAAGGUAUUGUAAAUAAAGAGAAAGGUCAGUAGCUUAUUUUAAAUCCCAAAUAUGACCUAGGCGCUGCCCUUGGUAGUAUGUAAAAGCUUUAUUUAGUUCUCACACUAAUAUUGUCCUUAUGGCAGAAUUCCAUUUUAUACAGACAGAAGAAUUAUGGCUCAGAGAGGUUAAGAGACUUAUCCAAGGUCACACAGCUAUACCAAUUUUUGUUUAGCUUGAAUCUCAACAUAGGUCUCUAUGCCUUUGAAUUUUGUAUUCUUUGAACUAUUGGAAUAUUUCACAGAAGGAGCAGUGGAAUGCUAACAUGGCAAUACAAUUUCUGGUUCCAGUCCGAUGACCGGUCUUCCAAGAGUGAUAUAAAUAAAUAUAGGACGUAUAGCCUGAGUUUCUGAAGCUUUGUUCCGAAACACGCCACCAACCUGAACAAACUGGUGUGGAAGGCAGCCACAAACAUGCUAAACUCUGGUUCACCGGAGGAAGAUAUGGUUAAAUGUGUUUACAUUACCAGAAAUUUUAAUACGGAAGAAGAAGGAAAGGAUCUGGGAGAAAGAUGAGGAGAAAAUAUGCCUGCAUUUAUGACUUGUUGACAUCUACGGGGUUUUUCCUUAAGCCUCAAAACAAUUCACGGCAUUGCCAGCAGCAUUCAGUACAUUCAGAACAGGAUCGUUUCACCCACAGCUGAAGCAGGCCACGCUUGGGACAGCGCUGAGAGCGGCCUCCCGGCGACACGCCAGAGAGCAAGCCGGGGUCAGCGCGCGAAGAGCAAGGCGGGCGCACUUAAAGACACACUGUUUAUGUGAGUGUGAUCUCACUGCCGCCACUGGAACCGGGUCAGAUCCGAGCUGAGAGAACCAGGGGCCCGGGUAACCCCCGCGAAAUCAGACUCCGGCUUUUCUUUCAGUCUCCUCUGAGAAUAUGGCCCUGUGACAAAAUAAUGACGUUUGGAUUCAUUUCAAUCCGCCGUGUGUUUCCCACUCCCUUUUUGCUUCCUCGUAGUUGAUUAGUAUGGUUUUUUGUUGUUUUUUUUUUUUUUGGUUAAACACACUAAACUAAACAGGAUACGUUAUAUGA